rnacentral:rRNA from 1 species
AGAGUUUGAUCCUGGCUCAGGAUGAACGCUGGCGGCGUGCCUAAUACAUGCAAGUCGAGCGGUAAGGCUUUCACUCUGUAUUUAAUGAGUUGAAUAUAGUGUGAAAGUACACGAGCGGCGGACGGCUGAGUAGCGCGUAGGAAGUACCCCAAAGUGAGGGAUAAGCACCGGAAACGGUGUCUAAUACCGCAUGUGAUCUUCGGAUUAAAGCUUUAUGCGCUUUGGGAGCGGCCUGCGUAAGAUUAGUUUGUUGGUGAGGUAAUGGCUCACCAAGACUACGAUCUUUAGCUGGUCUGAGAGGAUGAUCAGCCAGACUGGGACUGAGACACGGCCCAGACUCCUACGGGAGGCAGCAGUAGGGAAUUUCCACAAUGGACGAAAGUCUGAUGGAGCAACGCCGCGUGCAGGAUGAAGGCCUUCGGGUUGUAAACUGCUUUUAUCUGUGACGAUUAUGACGGUAGCAGAUGAAUAAGGAUCGGCUAACUCCGUG